AUGUACUGCAUCUCCUCCUCCCCGAAGAUGGACAGCAAUGCCACAUUCAGAGCGUACUUCUUCAUCUCUUGGAAGGUGUUGACUUGAAGGUCUUCCCAGGAGCCGAGGGAGCGGAGGGCGAUAGCCUCGAUGGCGGGGACGGAGCCGCGGAUGGCCUCGGGGGAGAAGGCGCGGGAGACCAGACGGCGGAGGUGAGCGUGGUAG
rnacentral:rRNA from 1 species